rnacentral:lncRNA from 1 species
CUGAUUUGGCCUGGAUGGUUCAGGAUAAUCACCUGAGCAGUGAAGCCAGCUGCUUCCAUUGGUGGGUCGUUUUUUCUGUCACCAGCAACAUUGCCUCGUCUAACAUCUUUGACCAACACGUUCUUUAUAUUGAAACCCACAUUGUCCCCAGGAAGAGCUUCACUCAAACUUCAUGGUGCAUUUCAACAGACUUGACUUCAGUUUUUACGUUGACUGGAGCAAAGGUAAACACCAU